UAUAAGAAACCUGUCCACUCA
rnacentral:piRNA from 1 species